AAAUUUUCUUAUGACUAUUUCACCAACUAUGAAAAAGAUGAUGUUCAAUAAAUGUUCACAGAAUGACUAGAUGGAUAAAUGGCAGUAACAGCAAACAAUAAAUAUUUUAAGAAUGUGAUGCCCUUUUAAGAGUAGAGAGUUCAGAAAAAGCAAUAAAUUUCAAUUCAACGAUGACAAGGUAUUUAUGAAUCUCCUAUUGCGAAUUGCUUACACAAAAAGGGAUAACCCCCCUCAAAAUUGUUACUCAGCUCCGUUU
rnacentral:lncRNA from 1 species